rnacentral:rRNA from 1 species
CAGGCCUCACACAUGCAAGUCGAACGGGCACCUUCGGGUGUCAGUGGCAGACGGGUGAGUCACACGUGGGAACGUGCCCUUCGGGUCGGGAUGAGUCAGGGAAACUUGAGCUGAUACCGGAUACGCCCUUACGGGGAAAGUUUUACUGCCGAAGGAUCGGCCAGCGUCUGAUUAGAUAGUUGGUGGGGUAAUGGCCUACCAAGGCGACGAUCAGUAGCUGGUCUGAGAGGAUGAUCAGCCACACUGGGAUUGAGACACGGCCCAGACUCCUACGGGAGGCAGCAGUGGGGAAUAUUGGACAAUGGGCGCAAGCCUGAUCCAGCCAUGCCGCGUGAGUGAUGAAGGCCUUAGGGUGGUAAAGCUCUUUCGACGGGGACGAUAAUGACGGUACCGGUAGAAGAAGCCCCGGCUAACUUCGUGCCAGCAGCCGCGGUAAU